ACUCGAGGUGUGCACCAGAUUCUUCUCUGUGUCUCCAGGAGGAGUCGGGAGUCCAGUGACUACUGUUCUAAUCAUUAACUGCCCUGCUUCUCACUGUCUCCAGCUUUGCUGUUAUUCAUCUGCCCUGUUUUGCUCUGAGCAGUGCUGGUGACCUGGCAGAUGGGGUCUUCGGAGGCCCGGGGGGCUGAGCUGCUGUUCACGCGGUGACCACAGGGGCUGGAAGCAAAGAUCCCUGAGCUGAGGAUCCGGAACCCUCUGUCCCAUCUUCCAGUGACCCCCUAGCGACAGUCUCCUGAAUCCGCGUGGCUCCUGCUGCCAGCAUCAAGGACCACGUAGGUAGAGGGCAGAGCAUGGAGACUCCUCACUGGGACAUAAGCAUAAACGAGACUUUACUUUGUAGACCUGGGAUGCUGAGGCCAACAGACGUGAGCUACAAAUAAUAAUUGCCCUUCUUGCCAGCAAUUGGAAGGAAACAACACAAGGAGAGAUUAAAUCUCAUGGAUGUUCCAAAGGCCAAACCCCUUCAACAGAGAGGAAAAAGCCAGAACCUGAUUAAGACACCAAGGCCCUCAUGAGCCAGCUUCUCAGUACCCACCCUGGGUGGCCUCUGGUCAGGCUCCUCUCUCCCACUCUACACACCCUCCUGGUGCCCAGCUCUCC
ensembl:lncRNA